AAUUCAAAUAAGCGCAAGUCAACAGCGGGAGUAACUAUGACUCUCUUAAGGUAGCCAAAUGCCUCGUCAUCUAACUUGUGACGCGCAUGAAUGGAUUAAUGAGAUUCCCACUGUCCCUAUCUACUAUCUAGCGAACCCACAGCCAAGGGAGCGGGCUUGGAAUAAAAAGCGGGGAAAGAAGACCCUGUUGAGCUUGACUCUAAUCUGACUUUGUGAAAUGACAUACAAGGUAUAGCCUAGGUGGGAGAGAAAUCGACCCUGUAAAACCACUACUUGUACUGUCAUUUUACUUAUUCCAUUAUGAAUAGGCUAAUUUAUUAGUUCUAGCUCUAAGGUUGGAUUUCAUCUGAUCGAUAUUUGUGGAAGACAGGGUCAGGAGGGGAGUUUGGCUGGGGCGGUACAUCUGUUAAACAGUAACGCAGGUGUCCUACGGUGAGCUCAAAGAGAACGGAAAUCUCUUGUCGACCAAAAGGGGAAAAGCUCACUUGAUUUGGAUUCUCAGUACUAAUACAAACCGUGAAAGCGUGGCCUAUCGAUCCUUUAACUUUACAAGUUUUAAGCUAGAGGUGUCAGAAAAGUUACCACAGGGAUAACUGGCUUGUGGCAGCCAAGCGAUCAU
rnacentral:rRNA from 13 species